ensembl:snRNA U2 U2 spliceosomal RNA
AUCGCUUCUCGGCCUUUUGGCUAAGAUCAAGUGUAGUAUCUGUUCUUAUCAGUUUAAAAAAGGUGGACAGAGUUAAGGAACUGCAACCUGAGGUGGUAGAGAAUCCUAAGUGUCAAUAUUCAGAAGGUUAUUAUCACCGCUA